CUAAAAAAAGAGUGGCAUAAAGUCUCUGAUAAGUAAUUGUGUAAAUUUAUACUCAAUGAAAUCAUUUCUUUUCCAUUCAGUUUCAAAUCCUAGAAAUUAGAAUCCUCCCGGCAGCCACCUAAAAAAUCACAUGCUAUGGGCUACUACUACCAUAACAGGCAGGCAGGCAGGCUUUUAGAAUAAGGCAGGCAUUAAAGGUCAAGAAUCAACGACAAGAACUGCAAAAUACAAGAAGCACCACGGAUCGAUCAAUGAGGAGAGAAAAUGGUAUGAAAACAUACAGCUGCUUCAGAUCCAACAGGUAUAGUGAAAGUCAACAGCACGAAAUUAAUAUCUAUGUACUGAACCAAAUUUCAAUUCAAACCAACUAAUUUACCAAAAAAACAAG
rnacentral:lncRNA from 1 species